GCAGUUUCCGGCCAAACCACGGCGAACUAGGUGUUGUGCAAGGCGAGGAUUAUACGGACGUUGGGCAUGGCUAAGGGAGGCUCAGGGACCUUCGACACGUCGAUGUAUUCUGUUCAGGAAUCACAAAGGUGUGGUGACUACGAGGAAUUCGAC